AUUCAAAUAGUUUAAUAAAAAUAUUAAUUUGUGGAAUUAAAGAUAUAAAAUUUAUUUUGGAUA
rnacentral:tRNA from 1 species